ACCGUUCGUUUACACCCGUUUCAUCGAUUCCAAGUACAUCCAAUUAUCCGGUGAAAACACUGAAAAAUUCAACAGGUUGAAUUAUACGCAGGUACGUUUUCACGCGACAGUGAAUUAUUUAUUAAUUACGUUCGCGUAAUUAAGAGGUUUUUUCUAUUUUACUGAACAUUUCUGUUAAUCCUGUUACUGUGGAAAUUUAUAAUUUGGACACCGAUGAUGGAUAGAUGAUUUCAUCGUCGGUCAAUUCUAAUUUAAUUCGAGAAAUUCUGCAACGCUUAUCGAGGUAUUUUACUGGUAUUAGGUUGUUCCAAAAGUGUCUUUCUUUUACAAACACGUCCUUUAUGACAAAUCUUUGUACAAAUAUGAAACCUAAUUUGUCAAAUAUCUUCAUCCGAAUGGAACAAAAUGGAUUAUACGCGAUUCAAUGGAAUAAUAUAAAACAAAGAACGUUUAGGAAGAGUAAACAUUCGUUAAGAGUUCGCUAGAGAAGUUUCGCUUGCGCCACAAAUGACCCAGAUUGCCUGCGAAAAAUUAAGAGUAACUAGAUGUCAGGACAUUAAAUUUUAUGAAGACAACGGCGAAAAGUAUGUCGUGCUGUGACGAUGGCAAAAACCGAUCGCUCUUCUCGAAGAAGAAACUUCAGAUAGCGGUGAUCUUGAACAUCUCGUUCGUUCUGUAAUCUCUAGAACUGUAGAACCAUCUGAACACGAAGAUCGUGUCACAGUGUUUGAAAUGAAAAUGUCUAUGGAAACAGAGUCAGCAAUAUCACGAUGGCAAAAACCGGACGCUCUUCUCGAAGAAGAAACUUCAGAUAGCGACGAUCCUGAACAUCCCGUUCGUUCUGUAAUCUCUAGAAUUGUAGGAUCUUCUGAACACGAAAAUCGUGUCACAGUGUUUGAAAUGAAAAUGUCUAUGGAAACAGAGCCAGCAAUGUCACGAUAGCAACAGCUGGUCUUCUCGAAGAAGAAACUUCAGAUAGCGAUGAUCUUGAACAUCUCGUUCGUUCUGCAAUCUUUAGAUUUGUCGUAGAAUCGACAGAACACUAAGAUCGUGUCACAGUGUUUGAAAAGAUAAUAUCUAACAUUAAACAAAGCAAACAAAGUCUAUGGUGUCACGAUAGCAAGACUAAUUGCACUUCACGAAGAAAUGCUAUUUAAACGGCGAUUGGAUAGAGUUGCAAAUAUUUCGACCAUUUUGUAACGUUUAGAAUAGUUACAGAGUCGAUGGAACACUAAGAUCGUGUCACAGUGUUUGAAAAGAUAAUAUGUAACAUAAAACAAAGCAAACAAAGUCUAUGGUGUCACGAUAGCAAAACUAAUUGCACUUCACGAAGAAAUGCUGUUUAAACGGCGAUUGGAUAGAGUUGCAAAUAUUUCGAUUAUUCUCUAACGUUUAGAAUAGUUGCAGAGUCGAUGGAACACUAAGAUCGUGUCACAGUGUUUGAAAAGAUAAUAUGUAACAUAAAACGAAGCAAACAAAGUCUAUGGUGUCACGAUAGCAAAACUAAUUGCACUUCACGAAGAAAUGCUAUUUAAACGGCGAUUGGAUAGAGUUGCAAAUAUUUCGAUCAUUUUGUAACGUUUAGAAUAGUUACAGAGUCGAUGGAACACUAAGAUCGUGUCAUAGCUAUGCAGAUAGAACAAUGUCUAUAGAAGAAAAGCGUACGUUGUCGGUAUAGCAGAAAUCAUGACUUUUAAUGUCACGCGGAGACGUACCUUGCAUAUCGAAGACAUACGUUUGUUAUUUGCCUUCAUAACGACGUUGAACAUAGAGAGGAUGCUGAUACGAAUAGGAACACUGUUGUUUUAUCGGUCGGUUCCAUUCGAUCGCAAUUCAUCCGCAGACAAAUUUAAUUGUCUUACCUUGUUCGUCACACGACGUGGCCUUGUGCAAUUUUAGCAAACGUCGUCCGUAAACAGAAUCCGGGCACGAUAUCGGGCACGUUGCUUUGCGCGGUUGAUUUAUUAAUUAUUCAUCGAUUCGUUCGGUUUCUGUUUGAACGUAUUUCAGCUGGAAUAAACGACGACUCAUGCAAAACCUACCUCGUGUAGACAGAAUUCCUGGCGAUUUUUCCUAACGAUAAAACGUUCAACAAGCAAACAUCGUAACACAUUGAUGUAAGAAACACCUGAACGUGUGACAAUAAACGAUCCAUUAAAUAAGAGACAUUGUAUCUAUCGUGACAUCGAGCAAGCAUUUGACAUUUAAAAUAAAAAUUCACCUGAUUCGACUGCCCUCGGUGCAGAUGAUGCCGCGUCUUGUUCAGAUUAGUCGAGUUAUUUGGCUUGGCAACUAAGUGAUUGCGGAUUUUGUCAUUAGGUGGUACUCAGAAAACCCGCAAUCACUUAGUUGCCAAUAUUAUGCUCCACUUGUCCGAUCUAACGCUGAAAUCGUCGACGUUCGAAACGCAAAACGAAAGGAAAAGAUGCUUAUGGCGUUGCGUUGUUGGGUCGUUUUGGAUAUUCGUCAGCUCUAAACGUGCGGUCUAACGAAACCGAUUCUAUGAUAGAAUUUUCGUAGCAUGGCAAUUUUCAUGGUAAUUAAAGUAACUUUCCUAAUAUCGACUUUGUUUUCUAAUUACCACGUCACAAAUUAAAGCACGAGAAAUUGUGAUAGCGCGUGUACGUUUUACCAAAAACGAUGGGAUCGUUGCGAAUUGCAAGUCGAUCGUUUAAAUUUUCUUUUUUCAAUUCAAGAAACUCGUAGCAAGUAAAGAAGCUCGAGUUUAGAUAAUUCGGCUACCCUCAACGAAAUACGAAAGAGCUAAGCAACACGCAAAAAAAAA
rnacentral:lncRNA from 1 species